GUUUAAAAAGUUUAAUUCAAAACUUUGGUCUGGUAAACCAAAAAGGAAAUAAUAUUUCUUAAAACU
rnacentral:tRNA from 1 species